CGCGCUCAUCUCUGUGGGAAUGAACGCAACCGAGGAGCGGACACACUGGGUCGGAUCACCCGGUUGGCGUCGGUCGAGGAGCCACAGACCGCGGGGGGACGAUGCUCACGACGCGUGUCUCCGUGGGUAGCAGGACUUAAAACCCCACGGCCCCUCCAUCCGGACACUUUUCUCCUCCGCUCUCGCCCCUUCCCCUUCCACCCCCUCAUCCCCCCUGUGAUAAAGCCCAUCGGGCGGAUCUGGGACCGCGUCUGUCUUUGGCACCAGUUGGACGGUUCCACUCGUGAAGGAUGUGGAGGACCGGGUUCGGGGUCCUCCUGCUGCUGUGGGGGCUGGCGUCCGGGGAACUCCAGCCGGACACGGAGUCCCGGAGACUUCCACCCCCGGGAAAGUUGGAUUUCGGCUACGUGCCCGCGGGAGUUUACGAGACACUGGCCCACUACGAACCGGGACCGAUUGGGAUUCUGUUCCACAUGGUGCACGCGUUCCUGUACGUGGUGCAACCCAACCCUUUUCCACAGGAUCUUAUUGUCAAUCUAGCAAAGGACAAGUUCGGAGCCAUUCAGACUGAAUAUCAAAAGCCAGAGAACAUAGUGCUGACCCUUCAGGCCAUCUACUACGAGAUAGGUUUCCUAGUAUGUGCGGUGUUGGGCCUGCUGUUUGCGGUUCUGAUGCCCAUAAUCGGCCUCUUCUUCUGCAUGUGCCGCUGCUGUGACAACUGCGGCGGCGAGAUGCAUCAACGCCAGAGGAAGAAUGCAGACUGUCGACGUGGCCUGCUGGGAACGCUGCUGUUCUCCACCUCAUUGGUCAUCACGAUUGGUGUUCUGUGUGCAUAUGCUGCCAACCAGAACCUGAGUUCUCAAGUGAAGAACAUACGGAGAUUGGUCAACAGCAACAUGAGGGACCUGCACACCUUCGCCAAUGACACCCCAAUGCAAAUUGAUUACCUCAUAUCCCAGUAUACUACAGCCAAGAAGAAAGUCAUCUAUGACCUAGAUAACAUAGGUCCAUUACUGGGUGGAAAGAUACAUGAUGAGUUGGAUAAGGAGGCCCGUCCUGCCUUGGACAGAGUGCUCAAUAUGGCUGGAGUGAGAAUCGAGAGAGCCAUCAAAGCCAUGCGAGAAACUAAGGAGGCACUGGAGAAUGUUAGUGUGUCUCUGGAAGUCCUUCAGGAAGGGACAGGGAAACUAAACUUCAACCUGAGCCUUGUACGGACUAGUAUCAACCGCACCCUGAACGACCCCGGCUGUCACGACGAGGAAUCAGAUGCCACCUCUGCACAGCUGUGCCGCAACAUCCGCCAGUCGCUGUCCCAGCUGCAGAUUGGCGCCAACUUCACACGGCUGCCCAAAGUCAACACUCAACUGGACAAGGUGAACGAAGUAGUAAAAACAGACCUCAGCAUAAUUGUUCAGAGGGGCUUUGCUUCUUUGAACGACACGCCACACAUGGUGACCGAACAGACCAGAAAUGUUGUGGAGAGUGUGAAGGGUUUGGUAGAUGGCAUUGGACACAACAUCAGCAGUUUUUCCAAAGCAUUCCCAGUGCAGAGCUGCCUGUCCAACUUUACCAUCUUCAUCAGCCAUGCCCAUGCUAAAAUAGAGGACUAUUACCCUGAAAUUGACCAGCUGGACUUCUACAGAUGGAUUGGCUGUAUUGCCUUAUGCUGCAUGAUAGUCCUGGUCCUGGCAUUCAACUACCUCGGCCUGCUGUGCGGCACCCUGGGAUACGACAAACAUGCCUCACCUACAACAAGAGGCUGCAUAUCUAACACAGGAGGAACGAUGCUCAUGGCUGGGGUUGGGUUUAGCUUCAUCUUCUCCUAUGUGCUAAUGGGAGUUGUGACCGUCAUCUUCCUGGCUGGAGGGAACAUGGAGAAACUACUUUGUGAACCUUUCCACACAAAAGAACUCUUUAAGGUGGUGGACACCCCAUAUCUGGUCAGUCCCGAGUGGAAGAACUUCAUUCCUGGUUACAUGUACAAUGACUCGGAACUCGAGCUGACAGCAGAGAGCUUAUACAGCACCUGCAAACAGAACAGAGGCAUCUACUUAGCAUUGCGUCUGGACAAAGUCUUCAACAUCUCCACAUUCCUGAACACUACACUGUUCACUAAGGAUGUGGUGGGUCAGCUGGGGAGCGUUAAGAUCGACCUGAGGGGUAUAAUCCUGUUAGAGGCCGAGGGGAAGCAGAACCUCCUGGAUUUCUCGGAGGCUGGACUGUCCGAAAUCAACCACGCUGACUACCUGGAAGAGGUCAAUAAAGGAGUCACUGCUGUGGAUCUGCUCACAUAUGCCAGAGAGCUGGAGGCCCAGACAGACCUCAUGCCCAGAGGCCCUCUUCAGAAUGCUCUAAAAGGACACAUUGGUACUCUGCGGCAGAUCCACACUCAACAGAUCAUCCCCAUGGAGCAGUCCACGAAAUAUGUUAAAGCGAGGAGCGCAUUGAAUCAGAGUAUGAGGUUCCUGGAGAGAACAGCUUCAGACCUGCCAAACAAAGUCUUAGCUGUUCUUGAAGCCAUUGAUGCUGCCCAGUUUCUCAUCUCCAAGAACGCUACACACUUGGUCAAUCAGGAAACCAAAAAAUACAUUGGAACCAUUGUUGGCUACUUCAAUCAAUACAUAGAAUGGGUCAAAACAUCUCUGGCCAUGGAGGUCGCACCAUGCAAACCCUUCAGCAACAUUUUGGACACCGCAGAAAUUAUGACGUGCAGUUUCCUGGUCGACUCCAUGAACACUUUCUGGAUGGGUCUGGGCUGCAGCACUCUGUUCCUGCUGCCGAGUGUCAUCUUCGCUGUCAAACUAGCCAAGUACUACCGCAGAAUGGACACGGAGGAUGUUUACGAUGACAUCCCUACCUAUGACACUAUGAACAGGUUCCCUCGGGCCUCGGCUCCUCCGAGGCACAUCGACUGGUGACAGAAAGCUGACCGUUUUUCUGGCUCCGGAAAGCUUAUUUUAGUGCUUUUCUGCUCACAGUGACAUUGCAGGAAAACCAUCAUGUGCCCUCGAAAACUGGAACUAAACUACGCCAUUUUGUGGUUCACAAACCAUGAGAGCAGACAAAGCUCAAUACAAGGAAAGGACACCCUGAAUCCUUUGGGAUAUUUUGUCUUCGGUGAUCAACUAAACCAUCCAAACAAAACCAUCCAACAAUACAUUAACCUGCUAUCCACCGUUCCCUGCCUCUCCCCAAAAAAAACGACAACAAACAAACAACAAAAAAAACUCUGCCUGCAAGACAUCGAACUCUUCAAUCUGAGCCAGACUCCGUUUUUCAAGGACUGCUGUGUCUGCGUUUACAUUUGUUGGGACAUAAAACAAAGCUGAACAUACAUUCAGCCAGAGGAUGUGACAAUAACUGUGAUGCCUGUUCAUUUAUGUGUUUUUGUUUUGUUAAGCUUAAGAAAACAGUGGCUGGAAGGUAAAGUGAAGGUUACGGCAAGUUGCUACAGUUUGGCCAACUUUAUCGCCUGCAUUAAAGAUGGAUGUGUCACUUUCAAGUCCACCCUGUCUCACAGCUUCUGGGAGAAGUGGCUGGAAAAAAAACAUCCUUUUUAACUGCAGACUGUGUGAGUUGGAUGGAUAUGUGGUACUUUAAUGACUGAGAACUUGAUGAUUCAGUGGCAAAAUGAUAGAAACUGAUUGUUCCUGGAUGUAUAAAUGAAGAAAUUUAGCAUCACUUCUGAAAAUGUUUACAAUAGUUGUAAGACAGUUUGUCAUCUUUGCUGGUUUGGGGCAAAUGACUGGUUGCCUUUCAGAUGUAUGUUUGACCCUGACAUUAUGACAGAUUAUGCUCUUAUUCAAGGGGAGAAUCCACCCACAGGUGCUCGAACACAGUGAAAAAUCAUCAAUCUGCAAUGUUUAACAGAGCUGCAACUGCUUCAGAGGGUAUAAAAGUGUCAAAGCCCCGACCUGAGCUUUGCAUUUUUGAUGUUUUAUUGCUCUAUGACAUUUUACUAUAAUUUCCAGGUUAUCCUUACUGAUAGAAAUCAUCUAUUAUUAGACCUAUGAAAAAUGACCUGGGGCCAGUUUCACAAAGACACACCUUAGUGGCUUAGCUGUAGCUGUAAAAAACACCUAAGUGGAAAUGCCUUGGGGACACUUGGGGAAAAAAAAAAAACUUUAAACAAAAAAAAAGUUUUAAUGCUUCAAAGAUGUAGAAAAAUAGGUGCAUUAAUUAAGGUUAUGUGCAAACAGAUUUAACGCAUAGUUGCAUUUCUGCAUGAGUGAGCCAAUGAGAUUGUAAUUAACAGAAGAAACAAUGGAAACAUUAAUGAAACUCAAACAUGAAGAGCUGCAGAAACAAACAUCAAACCAAUGCUUUGACAAUGAAGGAGAGAUUUUGAGACAUCGUUAUAUGGAUUCAGAACAGAUGAGCAAUUUGGGAGCAAUGCAAGGUUUUUUUUAACAAAACAGUAUGUUAUGAAACACUAUAUAAGUGGCAAAGUUUUAAACCAUGAUGAUAAAGAUGAAACAGCUCCAAUUCAUUGCAAGACAGCGGGUUUAUGACAAUGUGCAUCUAUGUGCAGUUUGUGUCACAGAUGUGCUAUAAAUGUAGUUAAAAUUUAGAAUACAUUUAGAUGGAAAUAGACUUAUACCCUGUUCGCACUGAUACUUUCUUUAAUAAGUAUUUUCCCACCAUUCAAAAAAAAGUUCACAUCACCUUAAAUUUUGUAAAAUAUCUCUACAAAUUACAAUGUCAAAACGACAACAAAUACUCAGAUAAACCAGUGUUUCUGUUUUUGUUUUAAACUGGACACUGUUGACCUUCAGAUAAUAUUAGACAUCGAAGACACAGAAGUUUCAAUCACCAGAAUAUGAAUACACUUACUUAACAAACCUGUAUGACCUAUAUUUUAUAUUUCUGGUACAUAUUCACUAAACAAAACAACAAUGAGCAUGUAUAAAUUGGGAUAUGAUUCAUUGUUUCCUAAUAUUUUAAUUUUUUUCCACUUUAGAAGGUGCUUCAAAACUCUCCAUUUUAAUGAACUAAAAUGGCAUUCAUGUGUGGACAAGAUGGCUAAACACAGAGAAAAAUGUUUGUACUGGAAAAUAUCCAUGUUAGUGUGGACAGGACAUUAAUCUGUGUGGGAUGCUACCUUUUAUUUUUUUUAAACUUGCAGAAGACCUCUUUGAGGUCAAAAUUGACUAGUCUAACACUAAAGACUGGUCUAAAACACCUGAAUGAAACUCAAAGUCUGGCCAUGACCCUCAAACAUGUAAACACUACACUAAGCAUCAAAAUUAGCGCAUUAAUUUAACAUCACCAGCAGUAAACAGCUUUUUGUUGCAUUGUUUAAGUGCUGUGGGUGACUUUUUCCCUUAAAAUCAGAGCAUUGCUGUUUUAUCAGAUACUUACUGAUAAAAGUAUCGAGUGUAUAGAUUGUUCCCUAGGCAAUUAAAUGACUAACAACCUAACAACACAAGUUACUAUGUUGAGUCACUAACAAGACAUUUUACCGAGAUCUUUUUUGCUUUCAUAGUGGCGAUACUUUUACAGUGGAGAAUUACUUUCUCAAGCCAAAUCCUAUUUUUUUUUACUUUAGGUCUCAGGUUUUUAGCGGUCUAUCAAAUAAUGUGCUUAAUUUGUCUCUGCUUUUUAAAACCCCAUAGUAGCUAUGGAUACAUUUAAAAGCUAUUGAACCAGUGAAUGUAUUCAAAAGCUAUUUUUAUUUUUUACUGCUUCAUACGUCUGUUAGCUGAGUUGUUUAUGCUGAACUUUAUCACUAACGCAUUUGGCACGCCAAUCCAGUUUUCCCACCCCCUCGCCUCCAUGUUUACAGGUUACAUUUGCAUUUGUGGCUGCUGUCAGCGUCGUAAUGAUGGUGGAAAAUUAGACAAUCCAUUUAUUGGACUUGUGAGCUCUGUCAAUCAAAUAGCAGAAAGCUUGUAGAAAUAUGCUUUGGCUUACAUUGCUCAUAAUGAUGCACGCAGUGAAAAAAAUAUCCAUCCUAACACAGAAUUUUUAACUUCCUGCAGAAUAAACUAGCUGAUGGACACAGAAGAAAAUUGUAUUAAGACUUUACACUGAGUAAAUUUUGGCAGAUUUAGACUUUUCCUAUUAAACUGGUGGUUCUGAAGAAGCAUUCACAGGAUUUGGUGAUGCUAACAAUUUGAUCAACUAAUGUUAGCAUCAAAGUUAUGGUACUUCAUCCAACGAAACAAACUGUAACCAUGAGGAUCCAGUCAGCAUAUUUCUUUUAGCUCAUUCACAUUCAUUUAUUGUGACAAGACUGACUCCAUACAUAGCAGGAUUUUGUAAUUACCUCUGACGAUAGCCAUUUGACAAACCAGCUAAUGCUAGCAUCAAGAUUGGAGUACUUAAUGCUGCUAAACUGACCAAUAUUCUUUUUUAAUCUUAUUUACAUUGUGGCAGUUUAAAUAAUUACAUAAAGACAAUAAGUAACCCCAUAAAUAACCAAACAAAAGCCUAGAAGCUUUAUUCUGGCCAUGAAAACCUACCAGGCUGGACAGCUAAACCUAGCCACGCCUUGGGUUUUUUGCCAGUAUAUGUAGCUACAUUGGCUACAAAAUAAAUUUGAUUCACUGUAAAAAAUAAAUAAAAAAAAUCGUUGUGUGAUAUACAAUGUGUGAAGUACAAUGACCUCCAUUGGCUGUAUUUACUCAUUUCAGCUUGUUAAGGUGGACAUUUUUCAGUAUCUGUGUGCCACAUGUAAAGAUGUGAUCUGUUUUGGGAGGAAAAGGUAUGGUUUUUACUAAGUGCUAAAACUAGAUACAGUAUGUAUCCAAAUCUAAAUCCUGGAUGAUUCCUAUCCGGAUAGAUAAGAUACACUGGAAAGUGGUUUGAACUGUGAUGCUCCAUUGGUGGGCACUGAAGAGUAUUUGUGGUGAUAAAGAGAGAGUGUAUAAAUUGUGAAUAAACUUUGAAAUUCA